UAUGUAGGUGGCAAGCGUUGUCCGGAUUUAUUGGGCGUAAAGCGAGCGCAGGCGGUCUUUUAAGUCUGAUGUGAAAGCCCCCGGCUUAACCGGGGAGGGUCAUUGGAAACUGGGAGACUUGAGUGCAGAAGAGGAAAGCGGAAUUCCAUGUGUAGCGGUGAAAUGCGUAGAUAUAUGGAGGAACACCAGUGGCGAAGGCGGCUUUCUGGUCUGUAACUGACGCUGAGGCUCGAAAGCGUGGGGAGCAAACAGG
rnacentral:rRNA from 1 species